GCGCAAGGCCCUUUCGCCAUAGAGCGCGCGGAGGACAAGGUGACCAGAGGGCCCCCUGGCGGCGCCCUUCCUAGAAUGAGCCAAUGGGGAAGGCGAAAAGGGGCGCGCGGGCGAAAAAGGCCCGGCGUGGCCGGGGCUCCCAAAGUUCCGUGUUCCGAGCGGCCGAAGUUUCCCGGGGUCUUAAAGUGGGAUUUCCUUGCCGUCUUCUCUGGUUGUUGUGUCUCCAGCUCCUAGGACAGUGCCUGGCACUUACUGUGUGUCCAGUGAGUAUUUGUUACACGUAUGAAGGAAAGAAUGAAUCGAGGGAGACUCAUUGUGGCUGAAACGGAGGAUGUGAAGUGGAGUGUCGUCUGAGAUGAGGCAGCACUCAGACCCCGCAGAGACUGGAGUCCAAGAGAAUUAUAUGAACAGAAGCAUUGCCAGCAUGACCUGAAAGGGACAGAGAUGGUACAAAAUCAAAACAGACCUCUGGACCAUCAAAGUUCUGUAAGAAGGAAGCAGGUUAUGAACACCACUCAGCUGCAAAUACUUGCUACCAUUUUAUGAAAAAGAAAGGAAGACUCAGAGAGAAUUGCCAAGAGCUCAGAGAGUGGAGCCACGAACCAUGGAGAAAAAUUCCUGGGAAGUAGUAGGAAUGAGUUCUGACCAAGGAACUUUUGACAUCUGCCCAACUGAAUUUCAAAACUGCUGCAGACCAGUGAUACCCGUGUGUUCUCCUCCCCCCACUUUUUUUGAACAGGAAUAUUUUGGCGGUUAUUCUGUGCCUGUCCUAUCACUGGGUGUUGGGCAGGUGGGUGGCAGACAACCUGUCUCUUUAGUUCGCAGACCAACAGAUGGAGAGGAACUGUAUUCAAGGUGCUUUGCCACACCCAGACCUGACUGAGAUGAUGAGAUUCUGCACGUAAAAUUGAUGCUGUAAUGGGAAGAGACUUUGGGGGUACUAAGGUGGGGGUGUGUGUACUUUGUGUGAGGGAGAGACAUGAAUCAUUGGGGGUCCCAGUGAUCCAUGCCUUUCCUUUUGGUGUUCCCACUUGUUUGUGGUUGCCUUCCACAUUGUACCAGGGUUGGUCUGUAUGACCAAUACAAUACAGCGGAAGUAAUGGUAUGUCACUUCUGAGAUGAGGUUAUAAAAGACCAUAUCUUCUGUCUUAGAUUCACUCUGUCUCUUGGAUCACUUGCCUUGGGGGAAGCCAGCUGCCAUGUCGUAAGGAUGCUUAGGCAGCCUCUGCACAGGCCCACAUGGUGAGGAACUGAGGCCUCCAGCCAAAGCCAGCGAGGGACUGAGGCGUGCCCACA